UACGAAGGGUGCAAACGUUGCUCGGAAUUACUGGGCGUAAAGCGUGCGCAGGCGGUUUUGUAAGUCAGGUGUGAAAUCCCCGGGCUCAACCUGGGAACUGCAUUUGUGACUGCAUAGCUGGAGUGCGGCAGAGGGGGAUGGAAUUCCGCGUGUAGCAGUGAAAUGCGUAGAUAUGCGGAGGAACACCGAUGGCGAAGGCAAUCCCCUGGGCCUGCACUGACGCUCAUGCACGAAAGCGUGGGGAGCAAACAGG
rnacentral:rRNA from 1 species